rnacentral:rRNA from 1 species
UACGUAGGGUGCGAGCGUUAAUCGGAAUUACUGGGCGUAAAGGGCGCGCAGGCGGCCAAUCCAGUCAGGUGUGAAAGCCCCGGGCUCAACCUGGGAACUGCGCUUAAAACUGGAAGACUAGAAAACGGAAGAGGGUAGUGGAAUUCCCAGUGUAGAGGUGAAAUUCGUAGAUAUUGGGAAGAACACCAGUGGCGAAAGCGGCUACCUGGUCCGAUUUUGACGCUGAGGCGCGAAAGCGUGGGGAGCAAACAGG